rnacentral:rRNA from 1 species
GUUUGAUCCCGGCUCAGAAUCAACGCUGGCGGCGCGCUUAACACAUGCAAGUCGAACGAGAAAGGGUAGCAAUACCUGAGUAAAGUGGCGUACGGGUGAGUAACACGUGGAUCAUCUGCCCUUUGGUGGGGAAUAACUCUGGGAAACCGGAGCUAAUACCGCAUAAGUCCGAGAGGAGAACGCAGCAAUGCGCCGAAGGAGGAGUCCGCGGCUGAUUAGCUAGUUGGUGAGGUAAUGGCUCACCA